rnacentral:rRNA from 1 species
AGUUUAUACCGUAGCUUGCUACACCAUAGACUGUGAGUUGCGAACGGGUGAGUAACGCGUAGGUAACCUGCCUAUUAGAGGGGGAUAACUAUUGGAAACGAUAGCUAAUACCGCAUAACAGUAUGUAACACAUGUUAGAUGCUUGAAAGAUGCAAUUGCAUCGCUAGUAGAUGGACCUGCGUUGUAUUAGCUAGUAGGUAGGGUAAUGGCCUACCUAGGCGACGAUACAUAGCCGACCUGAGAGGGUGAUCGGCCACACUGGGACUGAGACACGGCCCAGACUCCUACGGGAGGCAGCAGUAGGGAAUCUUCGGCAAUGGGGGGAACCCUGACCGAGCAACGCCGCGUGAGUGAAGAAGGUUUUCGGAUCGUAAAGCUCUGUUGUUAAGGAAGAACGAGUGUGAGAAUGGAAAGUUCAUACUGUGACGGUACUUAACCAGAAAGGGACGGCUAACUACGUGCCAGCAGCCGCGGUAAUACGUAGGUCCCGAGCGUUGUCCGGAUUUAUUGGGCGUAAAGCGAGCGCAGGCGGUUAGAAAAGUCUGAAGUGAAAGGCAGUGGCUCAACCAUUGUAGGCUUUGGAAACUGUUUAACUUGAGUGCAGAAGGGGAGAGUGGAAUUCCAUGUGUAGCGGUGAAAUGCGUAGAUAUAUGGAGGAACACCGGUGGCGAAAGCGGCUCUCUGGUCUGUAACUGACGCUGAGGCUCGAAAGCGUGGGGAGCGAACAGGAUUAGAUACCCUGGUAGUCCACGCCCGUAACGAUGAGUGCU